AUAAAUACAUAGAAGAGAAGAGUAGUUUAGGAAUAUAACUAAAAGAGAGCUAGGUAUGGUGAAAACUAGCGUUAUGGAACUUUACGAAGAUGGUCUUGGAGUUGAUUAUCUGAGCUUUAAAAGUUAGGAUAAUACGGGAGCAACCGUUAUAUUGCAGGGUGAUGAUAGUCACCUACAGAGAUAUUUAUUGUGAAAUAAAUAUAAAAAUAGAGUGGUAACGCGUAUAUAACGCCUCUAUA
rnacentral:ncRNA from 1 species